rnacentral:misc_RNA from 1 species
GAUGAAGAACGUAGCGAAAUGCGAUAAGUAGUGUGAAUUGCAGAAUUCAGCGAAUCAUCGAAUCUUUGAACGCACAUUGCGCCCUUUGGUUAUUCCUUAGGGCAUGCCUGUUCGAGCGUCAUUAAUUCCACUUAAGCCCUGCUUAGUGUUGGGAAUCUACUCUAGUGGUGCUACCCUGGAGCUACCCCUGAAAGGGGGCUGGCCCGGUAGCUACCCUGUAGUUCCUCAAAGAUAGUGCGCGGAGUUGCGUGGUCCUCUGAGCUUAGUAACUAUACACCUAGCUUUUGAGUGUCCCGCGGCGCCUGCCGUUUAAACCCCAUCUUUUAAUGGUUGACCUCGGAUCAGGUAGGAAUACCCGCUGAACUUAAGCAUAUCAAUAAGCGGAGGA